UCUGCCCUCAGUCUCCUUUUUAUGCAUGCAUAUGCUUGGGUAUGGGACGUAGACAAACAGUUUCAGCAGCUGACAUCCUCUGAGUUCAGGGGAAAAGUUAUGAUUAUUCUUGGUGAUUGUAGCUUUUUGCAGCAGAAGAGUCAUAUCAUGCAAAACUUACGAAUGAAGAGAACUGGCAGUUGUGAUGAGUGGUUCUUCUCUUCUGUGGUAUGAAAAGGAGUCAACCUGGGUACAUCCCCUAUUUCCAGAAGACAGAGAGAAGUGACCCAAAGUUCUCCACCCCAACCACAGAGUCAAACAUAUUGCCUCCUUCACCCUGAGGUUGACCUCAGAGCCAGGUGCAGUCCUGUCUUCCACCUCAUCAUGCUGUCACCAGGUAAUGAAGAGUAACUGAAAGUUUACCGGUUGUAAUUUAGGAGGAUCAAUACAUUUCCAAGAUGUAGGAAUACUACAGAUUGUUAGCCAGCCACCAAAAGCCAGGAGACAAGCAUGGAACAGAUUUCUCCCUCAUAGCCCUCAGAAGGAACCAACACUGCUGACACCUUGAUCUUGGA